rnacentral:lncRNA from 1 species
UCAUGAAACUUUCCUGCUUAGCUUGGCUCUUAGACAUGUCUAGAAAAAGCAAAGAGGAAAUGUUGGCCAAUUAGAGCUUUGAAGAGAGAUCAUUUGUUAGAGGGAAACCAGGAGAGGAAAAGAGAUCUGGGGAUACUGGCAAAGGAGUGAUUACAUUGAGAAGUCGUGGACAUAGAGUUGGACAGGAGAGAAUAAAAAAGUUAUGGGGUCCAUAUUUUGGCAGUCUCUGAAGAGUUAAGGAAUUGUAGCAGUGGGGGUUUAUGAGUUGGUGAUAACUCUAUAACUUCUUUUUUUAUUUGUUGUCAUAAAGUUUUCUCCUCAAUUUUAUUCUUGAACAAUCUGAAAAUCACUGUCUUAUAACAAACAGCUAUAACUAAAAUUUUUAUAAUUGUUAUGGCUGAUACU